GGUGGCGUAAUGGUAGCGCAAUGGACUCCAGAAAACUAGAAAUCCAUAGGUUGUCGGUUCGAAUCCGGUUCAU
rnacentral:tRNA from 1 species